AGUGAACGCUGGCGGCAGGCCUAACACAUGCAAGUCGAACGGCAGCACAGUGAGAGUUUGCUCUUACGGGUGGCGAGUGGCGGGUGGGUGACGAAUACAUCGGAAUCUUCUUUUUCGUGGGGCAUAACGUAGGGAAACUUACGCUAAUACAGCAUAUGACGUACGGGUGAAAGCAUGGGAUCUUCGGGCCUUUCGCGAUUGAAUGAGCGGAGGUCGGAUUAGUUAGUUGGCGGGGUAAAGGCCCACCAAGGCGAGGAUCCGUAGCUGGUCUGAGAGGAUGGUCGGCCACCCUGGAACGGGGACACGGUCAAGACUCCUAAGGGAGGCAGCAGUGGGGAAUAUUGGGCAAUGGGCGAAAGCCUGAUCCAGCCAUACCGCGUGGGUGAAGAAGGCCUUCGGGUUGUAAAGCCCUUUUUUUGGGAAAGAAAAGCAGCAGGUUAAUACCCCGCUGUUCUGACGGUACCCAAAGAAUAAGCACCGGCUAACUACGUG
rnacentral:rRNA from 1 species